GACGAACGCUGGCGGCGUGCCUAAUACAUGCAAGUCGAACGCAGUGGGGACGGGUGAGUAACACGUGGGUAACCUCCCAUCAGAGGGGAUAACACUUGGAAACAGGUGCUAAACCGAUACUGAUGGAUGGACCCGCGGUGCAUUAGCUAGUUGGUGAGGUAACGGCUCACCAAGGCCACGAUGCAUAGCCGACCUGUGAGGAUGAUCGGGCACACUGAGACUGAAACACGGCCCAGACGCCUACGGCAGGAAGCAGUAGGGAAUCUUCGGCAAUGGAGGAAAGUCUGACCGAGCAACGCCGCGUGAUUGAAGAAGGUUUUCGGAUCGUAAAACUCUGUUGUUAGAGAAGCGGUAUAUAACCAGAAAGCCCCAGCUAACUACGUGCCAGCAGCCGCGGUAAUUC
rnacentral:rRNA from 1 species